CUCUGUGACUCCUACGGGGAGGCAGCAGUGGGGAAUAUUGCACAAUGGGGGGAAACCCUGAUGCAGCCAUGCCGCGUGUGUGAAGAAGGCCUUCGGGUUGUAAAGCACUUUCAGUAGGGAGGAAGGUAGUGUAGUUAACACCUGCAUUAUUUGACGUUACCUACAGAAGAAGCACCGGCUAACUCCGUGCCAGCAGCCGCGGUAAUACGGAGGGUGCGAGCGUUAAUCGGAAUUACUGGGCGUAAAGCGCAUGCAGGCGGCCUGUUAAGUCAGAUGUGAAAGCCCGGGGCUUAACCUCGGAAUUGCAUUUGAAACUGGCAGGCUAGAGUCUUGUAGAGGGGGGUAGGAAUUUCAGGUGUAGCGGUGAAAUGCGUAGAGAUCUGAAGGAAUACCAGUGGCGAAGGCGGCCCCCUGGACAAAGACUGACGCUCAGAUGCGAAAGCGUGGGGAGCAAACAGGAUUAGAUACCCUUGUAG
rnacentral:rRNA from 1 species